CGCGAACCGCGACCGAGACACGACCGACAUUGCUGCCGUCGUGACGAACUGACCGACCGACAACGUGAUCAAAAUAAUAUAAUACGAGCAGUUACUUAUUACACUUACCCGUGUCUUCGAGUCUUAUAAGCGAAUAAUUAUAAGUCUCAGAAGUCUCCGGAUGUCUCCGUACACAUUAUUUACGUCGUAUUAAAAUUAUUUUCCGCGGUAUUUUAUAAUUAUUUUUUUUCGCGCCAUUUUAUUUUUUUCCAUUUUCGUGUUUGUGCAGUGCAGUGCGCCCGUCCACCCCGUCCUGCUGCGCAUCAAAUCUGAAAUGAUCGUGCGAAUGAUAUCCCGGUAAGUUAUAACCCAACCUUGUAAUACCUAUAUAAUAUAUUAUAUUAUACGCGUUUUCACAAUAAUAAUUCCAUCACGAAGUAACUUUAUAUUAUUGUAUUUGAGGGCGUCCGUCCGGAGAGGACACAAUUAUUUCUACGUUAUCUGGAUUUUUGAUUUAAACAAUAGUAAUACGCUAAUAUUUUUUACAGUAAAGUGUUAGCUAUAGAUGGUCUAAGACAAUCGAAAAUAGCCUUGAAGGUCGAACACUGGGUAACUCAGUGGUAAAAGAAUCGGCAGGCAAGAGAGGGGCACGGGUUAGCCGCCUGAUUUUUAGCACUAUUUUGCGAUUUCCAAUAGUAUCGGUAAUAGUAUACGGAAAAUCUAGAAAUAAUUCCCUUACCUUCAAGUCCCAAUAAAAACGUUAUAUGUCUAUUACUUUGUAUAAAUAGUAAUUCUGAUAAUAUCGACGGAGCCACCGUUAAAGUCUCUUCCGUAUAACACCGCUGUGGUACCCCGUCCAGCUCUCUCGUUUAUUAUAGUUCUCUCUCUCUCUCUCUCUCUCUCUAAAACGUGUGUGCAAUAUUGUGUUAUAAUAUUAAUAACAGGUGAACAACGCUAUAAUAAAAUACUAUAUACACGACAAUACCGCGGUUUUUAUACUAUUAUACUGUUCAUAUAUGUAUGAUAUAGGUACGCGUGGGCGCUAUAUAUUUUUUACGUAUGAUUUACCGUUUUGUUGUGACUAUUUUCCCCCGGCCGCAGAAUAUCGAGAAUAAAAAUCGACGAACCUCAACAUAAUAAUACUAUAGAUUGAAUUUUCGAUAGAAUUUAUACUGGCUGCUUAGACGGUCUCUGCACUUCCACAGACCUUCGCGACACAAAUUAGCCAAAUAUAAGUAUAUAUAAUAAAAAAAUAUUGUUUAAUUCAGUAGAUUCACCACAAAAUAAUAUUUCGCAUAAACAUAUUAUUUUUAUUUCGAAUAAUGUUGCAGAUUAUCGAUUCAUAUUUACAAUAUUAUAUUAUUCGGGUUUUUGCGUAUUAUAUAUACAGAGUGAAACGUGUAUCAGUUUUCAGAAAAUGUAAUUCUUUUGUAUACCAUCAAAGAACAUGUGUGUAAUAGAAUAUCGAACCGUAAGCUUACCAAUUAAGAUUUGUUAAAUAUUUAAUUUUAAAACAAAUGACGUAGCGUAGAGGGUCGUUUACACGUAACAGGAACGGUUCUUUUUUUUUUUGUAUUUCGAAAAUUCAACGCCUCGUCGAAUUAUGUGCUGGUUUGUUUUCCGUUCUUUUUGUUCUGUAGGUCUUAAAUGAUUAUCAUCUGUAAGAUGUACAUUAUCAUUAUUAUUAUAAUACAGCACGUAUAACCUUACCUUGACAAAUCUAAUCACAAAUUCGUGUUGUACCCGCCUGGUGGAAACGAACGUGCGUUGCACGCCAUACCGCACAGUGCAGUUCGACACUCUUAUAACAUUAUUUUAUUAUUGUAUACACACGACGCGUACCUACGAUUUUUCGAACCGCAAUAAAUAAAACUAAUAUAAUAGUAUAAUAUCAUUUCAAUUGUAGCUGUUAUUUAUACUGACUUGCAUUGUUUAAAAUUGUCGACAAAUAAAUCCAAAAUUUAGUUUAUAAACCUGUAUAAAAUAAUAUUAAUUUUUUUUUUUUUUUUUUUUUUUGAUCUGAAUAUUGGUAGGUAUAGUACGAUUUAACAAAGGCUGAUACUGCUGAUGAUCAUGCCACUAUUAUUGAAAAGAAGUUGGGAUUUAAAUGUAAUUCAAUUUAUAUCUGUACGCAACAUUUAAUGAAAGACGAUUUUGAGUGGAAUUAGUCGUAUAUGUCUCCUUGUUAUCAAGAUAACUCAGAAAUCGACAAAAAUUAUUCUGAAAAUAUCCGAUUUUUUCAUUUAUUAAGAAAACCCUGAGGAAAAUCAAAAAAAAUACAAUUUACCCAAUGUACCAACUAGAUCAAAAAUUCUACAAAAAAGUUCCUAUCGUAUAAAAUGUAUAUUAUUAAUACAGUGGUCACCGCUUACAGUGUUUACUGGUUAUAAGAAUCAGUCGCCUAUAGUGUACAAAAAUGCCAGAAAUGGAACAAACAGUAGUUAUCAGUGCAUCUUUCAUCGCUUACUAUGUUCAAAUUUUCGGUUUUAAUGAUCAGAAAUAGUGAUAUUAGAAAUAGAAAAUUAUACAAUAAUGCACAAAAAGAAGAAAAAUCUGACGAUUAUUAAUUUACGAACCUAAUCUAAUCUAAUGUAAGAUAAAUCAACCUAAAGCCCAUCAUAAACUGUCAGUCUUGAUUGUAAAUAACGUUGAUUGUCAUUCAAGAAUGACCGUAUAUGUGUAUGACUGAUAACUGAUAGACUGACAAACAAAUUGUAUGAACAAUUCAAACCAGUGGCGCAACUUAUGGGUAAAUUGGCAAAGUGAAAUUUUGUGGCCCCAAUAAAUCUAUAAAAAAAAAACAGGUGAACAUCACUAACUUUUUGGAAGAACCUAUAAAACGUAUGUAUGUAUAUAUGUAAAAUUAUUUAUUUCUCCGAUAUUUUUUACCUGUUUUCGAAUCACCGCUUAUAGUGAUUUCCGGUUAUAGCGAUCAAAAUACUCUCGGCCGAAUGUGAUCACUAUAAACGGCAACUACUGUUUUCUUAAAGAUAAUUUAUGAUAUCUGAAAUCUCUCAUUUAUUGAAUCGAUAUGUUUUAGUCUGAGAAGAAUAGGUAUUAAAUGUAUUUUAUUUCUAUUGAUUUAAUCCAAACAAAAUAAAAAAUUUAGAACGAAAAUAAAUUAAAACUAAUUCAAAAAUACAAUAACACCUACUAUUAUGUUGCAAUAAAAACAGUCUUAAAAACUGAAAAAAAAAUUAAAUAAAUCAAAUUACUUAUUAUUCUAGUGCCUUAGCGCUUUAUAUAUAGCUGCUACAAUAACUAUAUUUCAAAUCGAAAAUCGAUUGAUUAUAGAUGAUUUUUUUGAAUGCUUUAUAUACUUAAUAUAUUUUUUUCACGGUAGUAUUGUAUGUAUAGUAACGAUAUUAGACUAUUAUAUUAUUAUAAUAUAAUAUUAACGAUUUCUCAUGUACAGAGAAGCCCCGAAAAAUAAUAAUUGUAUUUCAAUAAUUAGUCAUACCUCGAAUAUUUCAUGUUUUAUUUAUAACGAAUCUCCGUGAACAAUAUGAAAAACUUUGAAAAAGGUACAGUGCUACCGAACUAUACAUACAUCGGGUUUAUGACCUUGUACUAUUGAAUGACAGGUGUUUUUUUUUAUUUUUCAAAAAUAAUGAAUGUACUAUAUUGUAACAUUAAUACAGUACCUAUCGAUGGCUUACCGAAACAUCAUUUCAUAUUUAAAGUGGUUAAUUAUGCCAUACAAAUAAUAAUAGUAAAAUGACACACUGCAUUAUUUAAACCAACUACACAAUAAAAGACAAAAAUAAAAAACGACUUCUUUGGUCAUCAAAUGGAUUAAAAAUGCAACAAAUAUGGUCUCCUGUUUUUCUAGUGAAGCAAUAUUUCUGGUUGAAAACAAAAGACAAAGUAAACCGUGCAUAAAAUUGCAAGCGAUGGAAUACGUCGGAAUAAAUAAAUUAUUCGUAGAUCUUAAAAUAACUAUAUUAUAUGAGCGAUAUAUUAUGGAGAGAAAAAUCAAUGUUUUAACCUAUCUCAGGAGUGGUCAAAAUAUAAUAACAAUUUUUAAUUAAUUUAAAACGUGUUUGUUGGGGAUAUAUGUAUUGUAAGGUAUUGUAGGUAGCUUUUUUAAAUAAAAAAAUACUCUGAUACAUAAUAGUAGCGGAUUUAUUGUGAUCUGCGAUUAGGAUUUUACGAUUAUUUAAAAAUAAAAAAACUUUAGAAAGUUUAAAUAAAGAUGAAAACUUUCCCGUUCGUAAAGUAUUAACAAAAAUAUAAUUAAACAUUUGUUUUCGAAACGUAUUUUGAAUUAUAAUUUAUUGAAACGAAUAGUGUAGGUAGGUAUUAGAAAAAGCGUAUUUUAGACGAUCGCUUUGCGCCAACGUUUCGUGCCAAACACUUCUUCUGAAUUCCGGAUGAGUGAUCGCCAGCUGGGAUUUACACAUCGCAACGCGUGUCAUCACGUCUUAUGGCUAGUAAAAAAAAAAUAACAAUAAUAAAUAAAAUAUCCCAGCGGAAAUCAGCAAAUAUAAUACGAAAUAAAAACUACUAUUUUAUAUAAGUAUACAAUACGAGUAAUGUAUUGUUUUUAAAACUAAGGUACGGGUUAAAAUAAUAUAAAAUACAGUUAUAUGCGCGUGCAUACGGGUUAAUUAAAAAAUUGUCAUUAUUUUUUACUGGUUUAUCUACAAUUAUUAUAAUCACCUUUUUUUUUUUUCUUAAACGGUGAAUUAAUUAAAAAUGUAGAACAAUUUAAAAAAAAUUAAUAGUCAUCGAAAACUAUUAUCGAAACUGAGUGGAGCGAAGAAAAUACCUAUAUUAAUUCUAUAUAGAUUGUAGUUUUUUUCCUAAUCGAAAAAUACUUCGUUUAGUAAAAAUCCUCCUGUAAGCUAUCAUAUACAGUACGUCGAAAGAUGCAGAUUUUUCAACAGAUGAAUACUUUUUUUUCAACUACUUAAGACAAUCUUCAUAAUAAUCGUAUAAGGAUUAUAAUUGUUUUACUAUUUGAAGACAUUCUAAAGAUCAUUUUUAGUACCAUAAUGUAUUAGCGCAAACAUAUUUCUAAACCGAAAUGUAUAAACUCACAAUAUAUCAACAACUAAAUUGUAUUGUAUUGUAGAAUGUUGACUUACUCGCGUACAAACUUCAGUGUAGAUAACACGUAAUGAACUAUAGUGAAAAUGUGAUUAUAAAUAAUUAGAUAGAUAGAUACUUACAUAUACAGUAUAUAAACAUUAAAUAGUUGUUUUACGGUUAAAACGUAAUCAAGUCUAGUGGAACAUUUUGUACAUUAUCAUUUGGUACCUAUACAAGUAGAUAUAUAUCGUCUUUAUAUUCUAUCGAGUAAAGUAUAAUACGCCUGCAACAAAUUUUCAAGUCAGUCCGACAUAGUAAUAAUUUAUUUCCGUUAGCGAAUAAUACCUAUAUGCGCAAUUUUCUCGAUUCGACAGCGUGAAGUUUUUUUUUUAUGUGUUUCAGAUCCCAAAUAAAUAUAAUACAGUUUAUUCUUUUACUUAAGGCCAGACAUUGUUUUAGUAACUAUAUAGACUUCUAUUUCUCUAUUUUUAAUGUCAGAUUCUGCAUACGUAAAUAUCUGUUACAUUCACCCAUUUCAAUCACGCCUUCCAUUGAGUCAAUUGACUCUUCUUUCCAUUAUCAAAACUUUUCGUUUUGAGCUACGUAUAGAAUAUUUUGUUGUGUUGUUUGUUAUUUAAAAUUACAACGUUGUAAUUAUAAUAGUAAAAGAUUUAAAAAAAAAAAAAAACUCUAAGCAAUGGAAUUAACAUCGUACUAUUGAUUGAAAGAAAGAGCGAUGUAGAAAUUCUCCAAAUAUUAGAGGAGUACAGCCAACCAAUAAUCAAAAUAUUGAUUAAGACGCCAACAAACCACAAUGAACUUCGUUUUUGAAUAUUUGAUUUAAAAUAAAUCUAUAAAAAGAUACGGACCUACUUCGCACGAUGAGUAGGUUACUGUUGUAGGUGAGAAAUUGGAAAGAUAAGAUAUAGAGGAGAAUUUAAUGUAUAUCUGUGUGCAACAAUUAAUCUUGGCUAACGAAAAACGAUUCUGAGUGGAGUUCGGUUAUACAUGCUUUGAAAGGCCGUAAUAUUUAUGAUUUAAAAAUAAUACAUUUUGUACAUUUUCCCGUUUUUCCCAUUUAUUAUAAAAAACCCUGGGAAAAAUAAAAAAAGACCUACUAAAGUCCCCAGUUAGAUUUUCUUUUAAAAAAAGUGCUACACUUGAAAAUCUGAGCAAAAUUUCACAGUUGUUCAUAGAUAGACAAAAAAAAUAAAUAAAUAAACAUCAUUGUAAAACUAAAACAUUCCUCGUUUCACUCAGAAUCUAAAAGGUUAAUUAGUACAAACUUUUUAUUUGAAACCAAAUAAAAAAUCGGAGUUUAAUAUGAUCUAUAGGAUAAUGUUGCUCAUCAAUUUAAAAAAAAAAAAAUGGUAAGAAAAUAAUAUUAUGCUAACAAUGAGUUAUUCCUAGUCCUGUGAAGUAAUUUUUAUUGAUAAAAACAGCCGAACCCUUUCUCCCUAAAUAGGUAUUAGAAUUUUGAUUAUUGGAAAAGUCUAAUCAUUAAGAACGUCAUCAAAAUGUUAAAAAAAGUUUUCAAAUUUUACGAAAUUGAAGAAAAUGUGAGAAACUGGCACCGUUUAAGCGUUGUUAAAUAUAAACAUCUGCAGACACAUUAUUUUACGAACCGUUAAAAGUACUCCAAUAUCCUAUAUAGUUAAGUACUUACUUAAGUACCUACUUCAAAUAAUAUUGUUCUUCGAGUUUCGAGUUUUACCUUUACUCGUUCCAUAAACAAUAGAUACAAAUAGUUUAUUUUUUACGCGUCAAGUACGAGUAGGAAACCGACGUUAUAUUUAGGUAGUUUGCAGCGCACUAUAAAGGCGAUUUAUUCGCACAGUAUUGUCGGACGAUCGACGAUCGUGAAAGUAUACUGAUGUUUUUUUGGUAAACACACUGCAGUAUCAGUCACGUCAAUUAGCUCGUGUACAACAAGUGGUAAUGUUCAACGGUUAUCGCGCGUCAGAGAAUAUAACACGGUAAAAAUAUUUCCAUAGUAUCUCGUACCUAUUAAACGAAAUUGCUCUCGAUAUACUUGUUCGCAAAAAAUCAAACAUUCGUUUUGAAAUCGAUUUAAUGUAUAUAUAUUAUAAUAGGUAUCGGAUGCGUUCCGGAUAGUUUUCAUCCUAUUGAAAAAAAUCACGACUAUCAACCUAUUAAUAUGUGCGAUAGACACAUUGCGUAUAUAAAUAUGCGUAUAACAUGAUCUACUUUUACAUAAAUGUAUAAUCGUUUUCUGACGGUCAAUAUUAAAACAAUCUACUGAUAAAAGCGAGUUACUAUUUUGUUUCAACAGUGUUAUAGAGUUAACACGGUACAUAGAUAAUCGUAAACAGAAUAUUGUUAUGUACCUAUACGUAUUAUGCCAUUGUUUCGAAUAAAAAUUAGUCAUACCGUGUAACAGCAGUAAUGAAUAGCUAUAACAUAAAUUAAAUACAUAUUUGUUAAUUUAUUAUGUUAUAAAAUGAAAACUGUAACGAUAGGCAUAAAAUUAUAAGUAAACUGAACAUAGAGUGAGAACUUCAUAUGGGCUUUUUGUGGCAUUUUGAAUCUAGCUGCAGGUAAUUUAAAGAACUCCAUUUUUUUUUUUUUAAUUUCAAUUUCAAUAUCUUGUACUUUUAAUAAUAAUGGGUAUUAAAAAAUGAACAUUUUAGCCAUGAAACCGUUAAAAUAAAAAUGUAUUUUCUUUUUUUCUUUUUUAAAAUAAUUUUUCUGAUCUGUAUAAUACAAAUGUGUUUAAAAUCGGAUAUUAGUAAGUAUCAAAAAUUUAAAAUGUGUGUAUUGCUUCACAAAAACUCGUAAGAACUACAACUAUAAACUCACCUUAGUGUUACGUUUACAAAUAGUUUACGAGAAACUUUAAGUUUCACAACUAGAUACGCGUAAAAUGCAUUGUACAACUCCCUCCUGUAUUGUUCACACGAGCUAUCUGGGAAAAAAAAAUAAUGGUAAAAAUAAGACAGUCUCGUUGAACGGAUUCGCGAAAUCGACGUCUGAGAUAAAUCAUCGUCGUUAAAUACGACUUUUAUACGAUUUUUCGUAUUUUUUUAACAGAAUUACAAAUCAUUACAGUUACAUUGGGUAGAUUCAUACCAACUAUCAAAAUAAUAUGUCAUCAGCCGGUCCGGUCAUUUAUGUAUAAGGUAGGGUAUAUUAUACUUAUUUGUUACUGCUAACAUUUCAAACUGCUAAUUUAUAUAUCCAAAGUCUCGUUGACACCUUACGGCCAACGAUUUUUGUAAUGUAUUUACUUUCCAUUAUCAUUGUUGUUAUGGGAGUAUAGUUGGCGAAGUGUCAAAAAUCACCUUACGUUUUGUCGUCACUCGUCGAAUUCGAAACCACAUACCGUGUCCGUGGGUAUUGUGAAAUAUAAUAAUAAUCAUAAUAAUAUAUACGCGUAUUAUAUAGAUACGUGAUUAGAACCGUAAAAUAAUAAAAGUAGGGAUGACAAUGAUAACGCCGACGACGACGGCGAAAAUGUGACAGGAAAGAGGAUGUUACGUAGAAUCGUAAUUUUCGUAUACCGGUAAUGAUUAUAAUAAUAUUAUACUUAAACUAGACUACCUGUCUAUAGACCGCCAGACUGGAAUUAUAUACGCAUUAUUUGCGUUUUUACACGGCGGAACUGUAUGAGGCCGGAAAGCUACUGCGUGAAGAAAUUUGAGCAUUUUCACUAACCGAACAAGUGUUUUCCGAAAGAAAGAAAAACAUAUUUUGGUAAGAAUAAAAGUUUCUUCGCUACACUAUCAGAAUCUAAAAUAAAGUUGAAGAUGUUGAAUAAUAAUGUUCAGUAUAAUAUGGUUAACUCGUGUGUGUAUAGUGAUUCAACAUUUACAAUAUUGCAACGACGCCAACACAUUGCGAUAUUGAAUAAUAAUUGUCGAACAAAUAUUAUCUAGGUACAUGAUAUAUACCUUCGUAAAUGUAACGGUUUUAAAUGAUUUUCAUUGUGAUAUGUGUAAUAUGUUAAAUUGUUAAUGUUUUGCUAAUAAUAGCAAUAGAAACAAUAGUUUGACACUUGCAGCAGGCUGGUUGUAGCUCUACACAAAAUGUGCAGUUCUAAAAUAUUAAAAUAAAAAUCUCUAAACGAAAUAUUGUGUAGUUCUUAAAAAAAUAAUAUUUUCACCAAUAAUGACUAAAAAUAAGACUAAAAGAAGUUAAAAGUAUUUUAGUAAUGGUGCGUGUUUUCUAUAGCUCCAGUUAAAAAUAAACAAUGUGAAAAUAGCGAUAUGAAUACAAUAUGAUGAAGUCAUCAUACAAAAAAAAAAACUAAUUUCGAUCUUUAUUUUGUAAUUAAGUUUGCGUAAAAUACCAAAGGAAAAAUAGCAUUGAAUUAGUUUAAAAAAAAAAUGUUGGUUCCUAUGUAUUUGUUUUCCGAUUUCGGCAUACACGGUUUUAAAAUUUGUAUGACUUAUUGCUGGACCAACUCGAUUUUUCUAUACAAUUAACUAAUAAUGCGAUAUAUAUGCUUAUGCCGCGUUAUAGCAGUUGGCUAAACGAAAUUCAAAAUCGAUAUUUAUAAUUAAUAUUAAUUGAAAUAUUAUGAACCGGCGUCAGGGUGUCUCUAGAAUAAUAAUAUAAUAAUUUCUACUCUGUUUUACGAAUACAAUAUACCUAAUAAACCACAUCGAAUAUUAUAAUAUUAUUUUUUUGUGACUCAUUUUUUGUGACAAUCCUUUUUGUAUACGUACACGCACCUACAGGUACGUCAUACACCCGGAUAUACUUAUACUAUAUACCUAAUGAAAAUACAGACAACGCAUAAUAUUUUUAUUGUUCAACAAAACGAUUAUAUUACCUACGCGUGUUUAACAGUACAUUUCGUAUAAGUAGAAUAGUAACUUAAUUUUAAUUUUUUUAUUUUUUACAGCACUGACUGUAAAUCGUAAAAUUAUUGUAUAAAUAGAUCCGUGAUCCUUUUAACAAGAUACAUGACGUAUAAUAAUAUAUACGUAUUUUGAACGAGUUCGGUAGUUCGACCUUACAGGGAAAAAAAAUUAAAAAAUAAGAUUUCGAGUUCCAUUUCAAACUGUUAAAAAAUAUUAUAUACAUUAUAAGAAUAAGAAGCAAAAAAACGUGUACAUAAAAUUGUAUACUUUAAUACUCGGUUCAUUUCACUAUACGUGUAUAAACUGUUCCCCGCGAAAUCUUAAUAAUCGGUUGAAAAUACGUAUUUAGGCUUAUUUCUUGCGGUCGGACGAGUAUACCAUAAUUUCAAACCGUAGUAUAAUUAUUAGGUAUUUGACCAAAUUAUUACACGCUAGUUGUUAUUUUAUGCAUUUAAAGGACACGAGAGAAUAAGGGUUCGAUUUUUGAAAAUUAUUUAGCACAGAAAAACUUUUUAACCAACACAAUAUCCAAUGUUCGUCAAUAUAUGUCAUCACCAUGAUUCAAUGCUUUGGUGACGUCGGAUUCGUCAACAAAAUUCGAUAACAAAAGAAAAAAAAAUAAUAAUAUUAUCAACCAGAGUUGAGAGGCAGGUGCACGAAUUUGAUUGAUUAAGCGAUAGAUAAAAAAUGUGUUAAAAAAUGACGCCCCUUCUACAGUCUGUGUGCAGUUCAAGACGCACGUUUCAAAAAAAUAUAAGCACGUGUGACGUGUCCCAAGUAAAGUUUUUGAUAUGAAUAAUUUUCUCGAGUUGCCGUAUUGAAAUUUCAACAUAUUGUGUAUAUUAUAUAAUUUUGAGUUUGUAAAAAUAUUACCUGAGUAAAACGCGUCAUUGUAAAACUACUACAUGUACAACAACACAGCAGUCAGCUGGACGAUAUUAGAUCAAAUUUACAGAAACAAUCGUUGACUCAUAUAAUACACACCAAUUAUAUGCAUAGACAAAUAAGUGUAAUUAAUUGUGAAUCAUCUUGUACACGUACAUAUUGGAAACGCCUUGGCACGAAUUUCGCUUUCGGUGUCGUAUGUAACAAAGAAAGUUUUAUAUUAUAAAAACAAUAAUAGUUAGAUUUCAGAAAAAACAACAUAAAAAAAAAAACACAAUAUUUGAAAGUAUUUUAAAAUUUCCCAUAAACGCAAAUAUUCACAGCUACCCACACAAGGGCACGUUUAAUGUUACACUAUCGCCAAUUUAUUUUUGUUUUUUGUUUUUGUACAUUAUCGUAUGUUUCCAACCACUAAAUUUGCGGUAAUAACCUUACCGCGUAUAGAGAUACUAGUGUAUUGUCAUGAGUAUAAGAAAAUAACAACAGGUUUAAUUUAGUUAGUGACGGCUUUCGCAUAAUUGAGGUAUACAUUUUGUACUAAUAGUUUUCUUUCGAUAAAUUUUACAUGCAAUUUAAUUUUCUCUGUAUACAAAUGGAAUAUUCGCGAGAUAUCGAAUCCCAUCUCUCGUCGUUUAUCGAAUUAUUCUCUGGUUUUUCAGUUUUUUUUGUAGGGGGAAAGAUAGUUAUCAAUUUUAAUGAUGUUGCGUUUAAAGUGUGAAUGUAUUUUGAAAUUCGUUAAAAGCCAGACAAAUUAUUAACCUAACCAAACGAAGCGAUGAAUCUAUUGGUUUUAUAAUAAAGUGUUUUUGUUUUUCUGUAAACCAUUUUUCUGCCAGAAAUCUUUCUCCAAUCAAAUCUUUAUAGGAACUUUUAUGUAUCAUUUUUAAUUUUAUUCACUGAAGAGUUUACUUUUUGAUUUUUUUUUUUUCCUUGUAGUUUUCUUAAUAAAUGAGAAAAACUGUAAAAUUGUGUUUAAUUUUGUGAUUACCUAAAAUACGACUAAUAAUACUCUGUUCACAAUUGUUUUUCAUUUGAAAUACUUUAUCGUUGCAUACAGCGUAUUUAACUUUUAUGAACUAUAUUUCUUACUCCCCUACUUCUUAUUUCUGUUUAGUACACUAACGAUGAACGAUAGUAUUACUCGUAUUAAAUGCAUCGCAAGCAUAGGUAUCUGUCGCCGUAGUCAAAAUGUUCACAAAAUACAACGUUCGCACGCGAUCGUGAUUUCGAAUGAUCAUAAGUAUUUUUUUAUUUUUUAUACGAUCUUAUCGCUACGACUAAAUUUGAACGGAGAAAACGCAAUACGAUAUGGCGGUGGCGAAACUUUCGCGACCAUUCUUUUUAAAAUUAUAUUGUUUCCGUAUAGCCCGUGAAAACGUCCGAAUGCCAGUCACGGGUGCAGGUCAACGAGUACGAUAGAGGUGUUAUAAAAAAAGACAAAAAUAAAACAGCUGUUUUAUUGUUAUAGGCUAGCUUAUAGUAUUUUAACUGACUGUAUUUAAGCUAAAAAUAAUUUCAUCCGAAAAAGUAUUGAGAAUAUUCAUUCUACGCUCAAAAUUUAAUAUAGAUAUAAAGGUGUGUGGUUUCAAUUUACUUUCGCUCAACUUUAAUCAUUUUUAUUUAUUCGAGUUUUUGUGUAGGUACUAAAUAAAUAAAUAUAUUUAAACUAGCACUAAAAAUACUACCUACAUGAACGGUUAACUCAAAUAACUGACCAACCAUUAAAAUUAUAAACCAACAACUUCGUUAUAAUUAUAUGUUUGCAUUUAUCAUUUUUCGUAGAUCAGUUAUUACUAAUAACUUAUUAGGUUCCUAGUUGUAGAAAAAAAAAAUUGUAAUAUUAUUAUUCACAUUUGGGCAUUAUAAAUACGAUCGAAGUAAUACAUACUUCAAAAAACCAAACACGAUAAUGUGCAUGUUGCGACGUCUAUUUUAAACGUUUUUCACGUGCAUAUUUCAAUUAUUCAAUUAUGGAUUUUUUUUUUCUUUGUAAAUCAAUAUAGGUAAUCAUUUUAUCGAAUCGAAAAUAUUAAAAUACUAUAUGAACUACAAUAUACGUCAAUAUUACAUAUAUACUAACUUAAUUGUUUACCUACUAAAAAUCGAAAACAAAAUUAAAAAUAUUAAGAUUUUAAAUAAUAAAAUAAUUUUUUAUUUCGAAAAAUAGAGACAUUUACUCUUGCGAUGGGAAUUAUUAUCAUUACUUGUUUUUUUUUUUCUUAUGACUGGUUGUUCAAUAUAAUUCGGUGAGAUCGUUAUACGUUGGAAAAAAAAUAAAAUAAAAUAACAACAAUAAAGAAUCUCUCAGGCUCGAAGGAGUAUUAUAGUUUUGCUUAUAAUGUAUAGGAAUAUACGUUCGAAAAAAAAAAUUUAACAUAAAAUCGAUGUCAAGGUUGUUUUUAUAAAAUAAUACUAAUUAUUACCUAUUAUACGUAAGUCGAAAAGUUCUGUAUGCGUAAACACACACAAAUAAUAUAUAAUAUGAUAUAGAACUAUAUUAGGCUUGCGGACGAAAAUAUAGUACAACGAACGCGAAGAAAAUUUUUAAUUAAAUUUCGCUCGCGUUUCGUACACGUAACAAUAUUAUACACAUUUUAAUGUUACUAUAGUGUAAAAUGAUGCCGAGGACAGGUUGAUGGGAUUUUUUUGUCGAUAAUUAGUCACGUAAUACAUGCCGAAAUCGUAACACGGGUAGUCCGACGACAGAAUAUAAUAUUGACAAAAAAAAAAAAAUAUUUAAUAAUAAGAAUCGGAUUAAAUUCGUCGAAAAUCGAUUGUGACAAUCGUAAAACUGUUAUUAUCAGCUUGUUACCGCUCGAUUAAGGCGCAACAGUUGGUCGUCAACAGGUGGCACGUAAUAAUAAGUCACGUGCGCCGUGGUUGACAAUCCGUUCACGGUUAAGUUAAACCCUUUUCUAUUGGUAAUUUUCAUUAUUAUAAUAUCCAAUACCGCGGUAUUGUUUUCGAAAAUCCAUGGUUUUUUACGUCUUACCUAAACUCCGCACAAUGCAUCACAAUAUUUUUGCUUAUUAUUACCGUUCUUGAAACUCCCUCCCCCAAAAAAAAAAUAAAAAAACUAACUAUAUUGUUAACGCGUUUUUUUUGAUAUUCCGUUCGUACGGUAAACUGCGAGACGGCUCGCGAGAUUUAUAUUCUUCUCUUCCGACGGUCAUGUAUAAAAAGAACAAAAAUAUUUCGACCGUGUGGUUUUCGGUCAACACACCCCAUAUUGCCCUUGGCACCGCGACCUAUAGAGUGGUCGCGUCGUAAUUGGGUAGGUACUCGUUAUUCGGCGCCGCCGGAAAAAGUACGUCUCGCGCGGUUUUUGUAAUCGGUCAAUAUACGGUAUCAGAUACACACUGUUAUUAUUAUUAUUUUGGUCGUAAUAACAUUAUAUGUCGGUGAGGUGGUCGAUUCGCCAUCCGGUUCCCGUUGGUACAGAAAAGUACGUUCAAAAAUAUUAUAGAGAUUUAACGCGUUUAUUUUUUAUCGUUUCCGUAAAUAUUGCAGAAUUUCAGGUGGACAUCAGCCUAUAUUAUACUGCUGCAGUAUUACAAAAUAUAAUUAAAUAUCCGUUGAAUACGGUAAGUAUCCCGUCUAAAGAGCGAAUGCAAAAAGUACGAACGAGAACCAGAGAAAAAGAGAGAGUGAGAGAGAAUAUUGUUUUCAUUGAGAUUUUUUAAAAACAAUAAACAAAAGUGAAUACUGAAUAAACAAUUAAUAUCCGGUACAGAUAAUUAGUGAUAGCAAACAGUAAACUUUGCAGUCAAGAAAGGUAACAAGGGUUCAGCCAAAACACUUACACAGGCUUUGUAAAUACUUAAUAAUAUAAUAAGUCACAAAUGUUAGAAUAUUUAAAAAGGCCUGCAAACAAUAUUUCAUUACAAAAACAACUAAUUUUUUUCACGUCCAUUCGUAUUGGUGAUUUAAAUUUUUUUAAUUUUAUUAACGAACAUAUUUUCAUUAUAUGUUAGUUUUAAUAUUUUUUACUCGUAUUUCCAUUUUCGCUCCCUGGACGUAUAAGAAAGUUGAAUACUUUUUCAUAAAAUAGUUUAAUGUGACUUUAUUAUUUUUAAACUUAAUUUUUGAUUAUAACCGCGGAACAUCAGAUGCGUAUACAACUAACCCAAAAACAACUUAAAUACAAUUAUCCAUAUAAUAUCCAACCACUAAUAUAUCCCGAUAUUUUCGCAUAUUUUUACUGAAUUAGAAGUAAACUAGUAUUAAUGUUAAGUCAUUUUCAUAUUGAGCGUCUAUCUAACUUUAAAUCUUAUAAACAAAAUUCGAGAUACAGCUGCUUCUCAAAGACCGCACAGUUUGCGCUACAGGCGUCAAAUCGAAGCAACUGGCCGAUCCUCCCCUGAAAGACCACGAAAAACUAUACCUAUAGAAACAGACGGACUGAGCCUUGUUGUAGUCGGACGACGACUACAAUACCCGUCGCGCGUCGCGGUGUAUAAAUCACGAAAUCCGAACGGUCCUCAAGGACCAAAGGCGGUUAUUGUGCGAGGCGUAUGUGAGACUCUACUAUCAUAUUAUACCUAUAGGUAUAAUAUAUAUAUAUAUGUUAUUAUAUAUACCUACGUCGUUAGUCGUGUAGUUGUAAUAUUUUUUUGUACAUGUAUAGGGUGGCGGUUAGUCGUCGUCGACGGUCGUCUCGAUUGUCCGAUUUAACGAGCCGUGGAAAUUGGCUCCUUUCAAAAAACAUAUCUAACGGUCUUCUCGACAAAAAGUAAAAACUCGUCGUUCGGCCUAUUAUAAAUAUACUCGGGGGACCUUUCUACAAUAUACCUAUCUAUAAUAAUAUAUGUAUACGACGACGACAAUUGUACUGCGCUCGUAUAUUGUUACGACAUAUUAUAAGACACUAAAUGACAUUGAAAACGACGACAAUAGUUUUAUAAUAUUUUUAUAUGUACGGCUCAUUUGUCCGUGUAAUGACAAAUUGCCACUGCUGCCCCCGCCGUUGUCGUUUCCACGAGACGAAUCAGCCGGCGACGACAUUAUUGAUGUAUACACGAUUAUUACUCCCGCGCAUCAUAUAUAAUAUUGUUACGUCAAUCAUCUGCAAAUUCACAACGGCGACGACGUCUUCUUUCGGGUGGUAUAUUGCGUUUUCGAUUUUUUUUUUUUUUUUUUUUUUUUAUUAUUAUUAUUUUAAUCAAUCGCGAAUAAAACGUACCAUCGUAGACGACGACGUUACAAUAAUGCACAUUGCGAAAAAUAUAUCAAAAGAGUCUUAAUAGUUAUUAGUAAACAUAAUUCGUCUGUCUCAACGAAAAAGUUCGUAUCUCACUUUUUCCAACUUCAAAUAUAUAUAAUCUCUUUGGACGAGUAGAGAAACAACCUUUUACGUUCCGACAUCCGUUAUUGUAUUAUGAAUAAAACGUUGCAACCAAAAUACGAUUACUCGUGAUAAACUACUAUGUUAACUGAUUAAGUUACUUAUAUAGUAUUACUCGUGUUAUUUCUCUCUGUUAAAAAAAUCUGGAAUCGGACACGCCCGUCCUCGUAUAAGUUAUCUAUUUAGACCUACUUAGUUUCCGUCGUCUUUAUAGAUCGUAGGAUGGUCUUUAAUAGUAUAGAUUUUGGGUAAGUACCAACAAAUGCAAAUUUCGGGUAAAAUAGGCGCUCAUGAAUUGUUUGAAUAAAAAAAUUACGGAGUGCACUCCGUAUAGAAUAACCGUUAAAAACUGACAUCAAAUUGAAAUUUGUUGCCGUUUUACCAGUUCACUCGGUGCAUGUGCAGUGCAAGUAAUUAAUGUAGUUGAUAAUGUCUAUACAGUGUAUUAUAGCGGUCAAACCCGACAAACGUAUCAAUCAUUUCGUUUACAAUACUAAUGCCGGGUUACAUAAACGAUCAACAACUUUCGGUAUAAUAUCAUAGGUUAUUGAGCAGAUUUUAUAGAUCGGUGUUUAUGCAACCCGGCGCAAUCGUAAAAAUUGACCUACGUGAUAUUUAACCGGUAAAACUUCACUAGUGAUUAUAGCCUCCUAAUACUUACACAGGGAGUAUAAUAUUUCUGUAGUGAAAUUUGAAACAAACUAUUAUGCUUAUUGUAUUAAAAAAGCGCGGCAUUGUCGAUGUUUGAAAAUUGUUUUGAACUUUCAAUUCGAUAAAAAUAUACCACGAUUAUUUCGCCUUAUCAAAACUGACAAAAUAUUUUUAGCCGACACACCUUUACCGAAUAAAAUAUCAUAAUAUUAUUCCUGCAGUAAAAAUAAUACGAAUUAUAUUAAAUUACAUGCGAGAAUUCAGAAUAAACGUCAGUAUUUGUUUAAUAUUAUUAUGUUACGUUAACCGAAAUCAAAAAAAAAAAUAAACACAAUUUUAUUUAAUAAAUAAAUCUUUUUUCGCAAAAAAAUAUAUUUAAAAUAUUUUGAGAUAAAAUGUCUAAAUAAAAAAUACUUGAUGUGGAGAAAUAUAAUCCCUGACCGCCCCCCCCCCUCUACGCAUGCUACCGUAUUAUUAUUUAUUACGUAUACCACAGAUAUAAAACUAGAUUUCUAGCCACACGGCUGCCAUUUAAUUCGAAGCCCGUGAACUAUUAUAAUAUCAUAUAAUAUACUUUUAUUUUGCGAUAGCCGUUCUGUUAUCUGUGUUUCACCAUUGUUACGGCGAUGACCAAACCCGUGAUUUUCACUAGUAUUAACCCACAGGUAUAACAAUAUUAUCAUUACAGUAAUAUAAAAGUUUAUGAUAAGGCGCAUGCGCCUCGAAUUAAUUGGGGGAUUGAAAUUUCUAGCCUUAUCGUCGGUUAGCAGUCUAAUUUCUUAUAUAUAUAUAUUAACCGUAACAUGUACAUAAUUUAUGCGACUUUUUCGUCAGUACGGUAAAAGUGCCCAGGAGAGUUGACUGUAUAUCUAAAUAGUUUCGACGUCAUCGACGGUGUAAAUCUGCAGUGAUUUAACUUGCAAUCCUGCAGUCCACCGCCCGACAGUUUAUAUACCAGCACAAAAUUCAACAACAAUAAGUAGAUACAUGAGUACUACUUGACGGUUCACUUGGUUACAUCAUCGAUUUUAUAUUACAAUUUAAUAACGGCAGAUAAGUUAUAAAAUUCGGCGCUACUAAUAUUAAUAACUAUUUAAAUAUUAUUAGAUAUGCAAUAUAAUAUUCCGUCAGUAUUUUGUUUGUAAGCGGUUUUAGGGGAUGGGAGGGGAAGCCGAAACCGCUGGUGUACAAUAUAAUUCUUUUGAACCGAACCAGCAACCAUCAACAGUGAUACGACGAAUUCGAGGAAAUAUAAUUUUUUUUUUUUUUUACUUUACGAUCAAUUGUUCAACAUUUUAAUCCUUAUUCCGUGUGACACGUGAUAUCAACAGUGGUAUAGGCACCCUGCAGGGAGAUUUCGGAAGUACAACAAAUCGGACGGUCAAUUGAAUCAUUUAAUAUUAUCGUUUACAUGCGAGUCUGUCUGCGAGUGACUGCGCAGUUUUUAUACGUAAUCACAAUUGUUUCGAUGUUGGCAUUGAAUAUAACAUGUAACUUUAGGCUAGUACGGUUCAUUAAAAUUCAAAUGUAAAAAAAUGUUUCAAUCGUAAAGAUUUUCAGCAUUUAAGUACAUUUGGCCGUUUAAACAUUUCAACGACUGUUAUGACUGGUCGCGUGUAACCGGGCCAUAAGACUAGUAAAUUACAUUACAUACACGACGACGAGACGGCGGCGCACAUAUUAUUAUUUAAUGUUUUACUGUAGGCGCGGGUUUCGGCCGAUUUUCAGUUUUUCCGACGACCUUCGUUUUAUAAUAUUAUAUCAUUAUUAUGGUCGUUGUUGUUACUCGUCGAAGCCGCACGCCGUGCCAAGACAAUAAUAAUGUAACAACAUUAUAUACUGCGUUGGACGAUAUUAUUGUGUAUAGUUAUUACACACCAGACCAACGAAUUUAUACGUUUCGACUAUAAUAUUAGUAUAACAAUUUUUCGUGUACAGUUAUAGUUUGUAUAGCAUGAACGUAAACAAAGUGAACAAAAUUCCUUAUAAUGUUAUACGGAUUUUUCAACCGGUGGAGGGUUCUAGUUUUUCUAGAAAAAAAAAAUUAAAACAAACUCGCAUUAUAUUAUUUUCGUUGGUUUUUUUUUUUAUUCUUUAUUUGUAUUUUUGUACGAACGAUAAAAGAUUGCCGACGUGACAAUAAUAACAUAUACUUAUGUAUGUUACACAAUAUAUAGAUGAUAAAAUAUACAUAAUACAUACAGACAAACACAAUAUAAUAUGAAAUUAUACCUACACAAACUUUGAAUGGAAGUCAUUGCGUUAUGGUUAACAAAAUGAUUUCGUUUUUUUUUUUUUUGUAUUUUUAUAUUAUUCGUCAUUACACGGUAAUAUCAUUAAUAUGUGCGCGACGUGUAUAUCGUUUUCGUUUAAUGGAAAACUGCAGUAAUUUUAGAUUUAGUCUGGAACGACAGCAGGGAGCUAUCUGGUUUUUUCUUCCAUACUAAUUUGGAAAAAUAAAUGUGCGUAGAAUAUUGUUUUUCUUGUGCCGCUACCGUAUACGUAUAGUAUUUAUAUAUCAAUAUAAUAUAUAUAUACACCGAAAAGAAAUCGAAUACACUUAUUUAUAGUGAACGGGUAAUUUUUAUUUUUUUUGAAAUUUCGAGUGCCCGAGUUAGUUUAAAAACGUUUUUAAAAAAUAGUUUGAAUUACGGUUUCUUUUUUCUAAAAAAAAAAAUCUCCUGUUUUUUAAUGAAUCGACUUCCGGUCUGUUGUAAUUUGUAGCCAAAAUCUAAAACUAUACAUAACUCAAUAUACCCGCUGCCAUUACUGGGCUUAUGCCGAGGUAGAUGAAACGAAAACGGACUUAGUGUAUACCUAUCAAUCUGCAUAUUUACGGUACUAAUGUCUUACCAAUAUAAAUGUCUACAUUCAGAUAUACAUGAAAUUGAUACACCCAGUAGUGUUUUAUAGUUCAGAAAUAUGGUCUCUCAGAAAAAUAGAAGAAAUAAGGCUGGAAGUUUUACAUAAAAAAAAUUAUAACUACAUUUCCAAAAAUUGUCUUAAUUUCUUCUUCCCUAGGAUCAUAGAUGUAUACUUGAAAAAAUACAUGAGAUUAUUUUUUUCAAAUUGCUGACUGUAUAGAUUUUAUUUUAAAUAAGUAUGCAAAAUUCGGUGGAGGCCUUUCCUUUUUUACUCAUAAGCGUAUACUAUAUGAUAUUCUCUUCUAUAAACGUAUUUAAAUUAAAGUAAUUGUACAUAAUUCAACAUAAGCUAGCUAAUUAAAUUUAUUAUAACCGGAGAAUUGAAGAAAUACAAAACAAAUGUUGUCGGUAUUCUAUCAUUAUUUUCUAUCGGUUUUUUAAUUUUUAAGAAAUUCUGUUAUGAAUCUAGAAACCGAUCGAAAAAUUCGCGUCUUAUAAGGUAAUAGGUACGGUGUGAAAGUUUCAGAGGAUUUCUGCUAAGCAAAAUAGUAGUCACAGAUUCCGCAUACUAAGAAUAAAAAAAAAUAUGAGCAACAGAACUUUGAUACCAGAGUCGAAUUCCCUAAUUUUGUUUUAAGUUAACAACUAUAGAUCACCUUAUGCAUAUUUAAUUAUCUAAACAGCCAAAAUUGAUUUUAAAAAACCCUACGGUGAAUUUACAAUAAAAAAUAAAUACGUAAAAGAGUAACCAUAGCUAUCAUAUUUAUUACAAAUCAUUAUAAAUAUUACAAAUAUUUAAUAAGUAAUUAAAACUCGAAUAAAACAAAUAAAUUCCAUAUCAACCCGCAGAAAAUGAUCACCAAGUUUCCUUGUUUCCUCAUUCCUCUUGUUUAUCCAUAGUUGUGGUUCUUAACCUUUUUCGGUCCAGCGUCCUUUCGUCGAUAUUAUAACUGACUGCCAAAGUCCCUUUUUGCAUGACAAACAUAUGGGAAGAAUCAUGCAUGAAUAUGUGAGACAGUAUUCUAAAUUUAAAUAAAAACGCUUCAAACCUAAUGAUUUUAUUCGUUACUACCAUUCUUCACGUAACCAUUGAUAUAUAGUCUCUCUUACACGAUAAAUAUCAAAUUGCACCUAAAACUUCAACAAAAUCCCUUUUCCGUAAACAAAUAAUAUUAUUACAUGCAAGUACUUUAUCUAAGUAUAUAUUUUAAUAUACGACAUCGACAAUAUGCCAUUACGCCUAGUCGCCGCUAAUUAUCAAUAGGUCGUCGUCCGUAGCAGUAUUAUAUCCGUCAGAUUAUUUUUAUUCGUAUACGUGCCAUUAUGUACCUACCUAUUUAAACCAUAGUAGAAUGCACGAGUAUAUUCACUGAAACAAUGCUAACUAAUAAUUUUAAUGUACGCGUAAUAUAAUAGGCAGCCGAUGUAUAUCAGUAUAAUAUCAGUGUGUAGCGCAAUUGCAGCGACGUAUAUCUAUACAUGAUUUUUGACAGUGGGGAAUCGAAGAGACUGCACCAAAGAGGAAGAGUAGCCUUCUAUUAUUUCUAUCCAUUAUGGAUGAUUCUCGCUAUUUUCUCGCACCUCCCUAGAUAUUUUGAAAAUUCUUAUUGAUUUUUAUUAUUUUUUUCAAUCGACAAAAUCCGUCGAAAAAAAAUGGACGGACGUACUUUGUACUUGAGUGCAACCCCUGUUAUAGGUGGGAGAUUGAGAAAAUAGAAUACAGACGGGAAUUUAAUGUAUAUCUGUAAGCAACGAUAAACCGUUGCUAAUGAAAAAACGAUUCUGAGAGGAGUUCAGUUGAUAGUGUUGCUUUGUCAACAAUACAAUAUAUGGUAUAUAUCAUAUUAUGAUAAAAUGAUUACAACGAUGUACGUUUCCAUAACAGCAAUGAUUGUUUAAAUAAUGUUAAAAUAAUAAAAACUUUAUAAUAACAAAAAAUAAAUAAAAACGGUUACCAAUAACAACCUUAUUUUUAAUCUUUUAAUCUUUUUUAACUUGAAUACCGAAGUUUUUCUCAUUAUCUCGAAUAUUAAUGAGAAUUUCAAAAAAUGACCUUUUUAAAGUACCACUCAGAGAACAUUUCCUUUCAUAAAAGAUUCUAUACUUGAUAAUCGGAGUAUGCUUUCUGAUAUAAAAAGUGUUCAUAAAUAAACAUCAUUGUAAAACCAAUACAUUCCUCGCUUCACUCAAAAUCUAAAAACGAAAACCGUUAUUAUAAGCUGAUGAUUUGGUUGUAACGGGCAAGGAAUUAUUUAAAAAAAAAAAAUGAAUUAACUAUUUAAUGUAAUAAAGAUGACAGUGGGAAACGGUGAGUGACGGGGUAAUACGGGAAGACACGUUUUUAUCUGUUUAUUUUUUUUUUUCUUUAAAUAUAAUGCACGAGCAAAACCGUGGGGACAGCUAUAGUAUUUGUAUAAAACAAAAAACGUUUCGCUUUCACUACUAUCGCGACGACUCGGGCGAAAAACGAAAAACUACCAUAUGCUCUAUAGCAGUGGUUCCCAGUAGCAGUUCCCGUAGGUGUUAAGUAAAGAAACUGUUCGCUACCUAAAUUAAAAAAAUAGUUGUUAGUUAUAAUAUAGUUAGUUAAUACAUAAACAAAAAUAAUAACUAUACAUAUUUAAUUUUACUUUUGUGCUCUAAAUGCUUAUAAUUAUAUAGUUUUAUUUAUAAGAGGCUCCAUAUCUACAUGUAAAAAAAAGAUCCCUUACUAUACUCUAAAUCUAAAAAUUUAUUAGGUCAAAUGGUAUUUGAAAAAUGUCAAAAUGUGUAAAUGGUACGCGAAUAUAAAAAGGUUGGGAACCGAUGCUCCAUACUAUGGUUAGCGAACCUAUGGCACGCGUGCCAAAAGUGACACGUUGGCCAAAUUUUAAUGGCACGCGCUCGCCAUAAAAAUAUAUAUCGUAAAAAAAGAAUCAUAUUUCAUGAACGUACAGAUAUAACAUCGUCUGCACGUCUUUUAAUACUUUCUAGAUUCUGUAUGAAUGAUGAAUUUCGUGAAUAAUUUAUCAGAUUAUCAACCAUACUACCUAAAACUGAAAAUGAAACCAUGUGCAGUUUAACUUUUACUGAAAAUUACAAACUAUACUCCAGAACUUUAUCUUCAAAAAAAUAACAACAGACAUCACAUUUAAAAUAAUAUAGUAUUAUAAUUUAUAAGUAAUAACUUUUUUUGACACAUGAGCAUAUUUUAGAAAAUUUGAUUUCAAAUUUCAAAACUUGACUUGAAAAAGGUUCGCCACCCCUGUUCUAUACCAAUAUAGGUUCGGCGAAUAUGGAACUAUAUCUACAGUAAAAAAAUAGCUAUACAGGUACAACUGUAGCAGCUCGCCAGUACUUAUACAUUUACCUAUAAGUAUUAAAAACCGUAAUUCGUAAAAAUCGUGAAAUCAACGAAGACUUACACCCGUAGUUACCGACCGCGAACCUAAUAUUACAUUACCAAAUCAUAAUACAUAUCUGUAUUUUGUGAAGAAGCGCCCAUUUGAAAUGCGGAAUAAUUCGAGGACCACGGACAGGAUUAAGUCACGUUUCUGUUUAUGUUUUCACGUUUAUUUCGGUGUUAGGUAUUAUAUUAUUAAAAUACGCGUACGGCAACACCGCCAAAUUCUCGGCCUUAAAAAGUAAUAAUACUAUACCUAUAUAAAAUAUACGUGAUCAAUAUUUCCACGAUAAAAAAAUUAAUACUGUGCGUAUAGAUAUGAUGUGGGAGAAGAAAUCGGCGUACCGAAUACGAAUGUAUUAUUAUCAUUAUUAAUAUUAUAAAGAGGCCGUCACAUUUAAUUUAAUUAUUAGAUGUUUCUACAACUAUAACUACGAUUUCAAUGUGUAGUGCUGCCUAAAAAAUCACUAGGUAUACAUUUUUUUGUAUUUUUGACAAUUGGAUUUAAUUGCAAUAUAUCCAGAUAAGUUUAUUGAACAUAUAUUUAUACUUGAGAGGAAUAAAAGUAAUUUUUGUCGAUGUUUGCGUUUAAUUUCCGUUUAUUGUAGUGCUGGGUAUGUAUCUGCGUGUUUAAAGUGGAAUAUUUUUGAAAGUCUUAUCUAACAAAUUCCAACAAUGAUUGUCUAAAAGUAUCGAGAAUGGUCUCUUAGAAAUAUUGUUUGAUGCUUUUUUUGUUUAGUUUUGUCUCAUAAUAUGUAGGUGCUGAACGUGUUUUGGUCACUCCUAACUUUCAAGUUUAAUAAACUUAAUACUUUAUCUAACAAAUCCAAAUAGAGUUUAUUAUGAUGGUUUUGCAAAGCUGUGUUAUGUUAGUACCAGAUUCACAUAACAAAUUUAAUAUUAAAACUGUAAAACACUGACGAAGUUAUCUUAGAAGUUUUGCCAUCCACAAAUAAGUGUUUUAUAUCUAAAACCGAUGUUAAGAAUUGCUUUGUUUGAUUUACGUGAAUAAAUUAUUGCUUGCAUUGUUCGUUAGAAAGACAUAAAUUACAAAUGCCACUUUGAUAGCAUUUUAUAACGAAAAACAAAAUUAUUUUGCUGACGUAAAAUCGAAAAGGUAUUUCAAAUGAUCAUUGAGUCUGCUUCGGGCGUAGUAUAGUCUCAGAUAAAAUUUAAAAAAUCCGAAUGGAAAAUCAUAUAUCGGUUAUAGGCCAUUGUUGUAGUUGAAAAAUUAGGAAAAUUUGGUAAUCGUUGAAAACAAAAACGAGAUCUUUUAAAUCGGUUAACUAAUUCAAAUAGAUAUAAUGCUUUUUCUUCCACUUUAUAUGACCGAAAGGAACUCAGAAAUCAACAGAUCACUAAAAUACCUACAUAAAUAUAAUACAGGUAGAUUAAUUUAUAUUAUACAUAACAUUACCCUUAAAUAAACGAACUUAUAUAUCUGACAGUUGAUCGUACAGAAGAAAAAAAAAUCGCUCUAGUCUGCGGUUAGUAACACGCAAAACCAAUUAUUAACUCGAAUUUUAAAGUGUUCAUUUAUCUGAAUAGCAUACGAAAUUUCGGUUUGUGCACGCGACCGCGUGUAUAGUGUAUACUGCACAAUGUAUAUAGGUAAUAGGUAUCUUUUAGAGGUGUAUCCUACACAUCGUCGAUAGCGGUAUUUUUUUGCAAACCGAUAAACUAAACUUUUACUUCUGUCUAAUAUCACCACGAAGUCUUUUACAUACCUAGGAAAUUAUAUAUAUAAUGUUUUACAUACUAUAGAUACUAUAUAUUAUAGGUAUCGCCCGUUACAAUCGUAUAUAUUAUUAUUGUAUACUUACCGUAAGAGUACGCGUGAGGUAGUCAGAUUCAGUGGCAUAGUUAAUUAGAAUUAUUUAUAGGGAGAAGGGGCGUUAGUUAUAUACAAAACAACAUAAAAAUAAACAUUAACAUUAAAACUAAUUCAAUAAUUAAUUAUAUUCAUACAUUUUUGUAUACAAAUUGAUGAAUUCAUAAUUUAUAAUAGUUAAUAAUAAAACAAUAAAGUAAAAACAAAAUUAUUAAAAUAGUUAAUACUCGUAAAUAAAUAUAUAAAUAAAAAAUACAUACAUAAAAAUAAAAAAUAAAUAAAUCGCCUAGAGUAGAGUCGCGUUUUACAUUUUGACUGUGAUAUAUCUGAUGGUGCAUUUUUAAUUCAAAACCGGUCGUAUAAUACAAUUAUCAUAAUACUCCAGGCGACGUAUUUAUUUAUAUUUAAUUUUUAAGUAUACAUAUUUUAUUUCUAUAUAUAUAACAGUACAUUUUAAUUAUAAAACUUAAAUCAAUGCACAUUUCUUAUUAAUUGACUUAUUAUUGUAUUAUUUCUUUGACUGUGACUUCAAUUUCACGUUGAAUAUUUAAUGUUGCUAACCCAUUAAGUUUUAAUUAUUUUUAAUGUGGAUACAUUUUUGUUUUGUUUCGUAAAAAAAUUAGUUUUAUUAUAGGUAAAUCAUCAUAAUUGUCAGAUACCUAUUGUUUUUGUCGCACAAAUAAAAAAAGCUCAAAAUAAUUAUGUUUUACAUUUUUUUUUUAUCAGUAUUUCACUAUAAUAUUGUUUUGCUAAAAUACGUCGAAAACAAAAUGAAUUUUAAAUAGUAUUUCCAUAUAACUUAACCUAACCUAACGCAUCCAUUAUCUGCAGCCAUUGACUACUCUGUCGUCAAUAUCUGAACAUUACGUCUAUAACAAAAUACGAAAAAAAUACAUAAUAUAGGUAUACCGAAAAUAAUGGACUAUUGGAACUUGUACAUAGUCGAAAACUGCGAGGAAAAAAAACAGGUUCGGCAUAUUAUUAGCAUUUGAGAAAUAUGAUAAGUAACAACGACGUCGGCAUGGCGACGACAUACACAUUUUUCGGUAUAACAAAACCUAUUAUUAAAAUAUCGGCGAUUCCGACACAAAAUUCGUGUGUAACACUGAAACCACCAGCAUCCACCACUACUUCGUGGUUCAGCAAUAUAUCAUUUUCAAACCGCGGAGGUUUUAUAAUUGGUUAUAUACGAUAAUGCAGGUGAACCGCUUAUUUGAAAUGAUUACAGUUAGACGCAUUAUACCGCGGUAUACACUCAAAUAUUGAGAAUUUUGAAAAAAUAUAAUAAAUUAAAUCUUUUAAAAAUUAAAAACAAGUAGGUAAAAUCAACACAGUAUUUUGAAAAUUUAAAUAUAAAACAAAUUUAGUAUGAUCAUUGUAAAACCCAGUAUUUAUCUUUCAAAAAAAUAUUGGUUCCGGUUUUUUAAAAAUAUUUAAAUACAGUUCCUGUUAGAUUCCGGUUCCCAUUAUGUUUAGAAUUUCUGGGUUACAGAAUCGGUUCUUUUCGGUUUGAUUCAAAUUUAAUACUCAAAAGGCUUAGGUUAACAGAGUAUACAAAUCAUAGAGAAGAUAAAAAAGUUUUAAAAAAAAAUUUUUUUUUGGUGGAUAAUUUUAUUAACUACACAUGCUCUUAAUAUUCUUCUCUGCGCCUACUGUCUAAUAUUUUAUUUUAUUUUGACAUUUUAAAUGGAACUAUACAUUAACCUGAGUUAAUACGGCACGUAUUUUUUCCUUGGCCUUUUUUUUUUUUUAUGGAAAACUCGACUAAUGUAUACGAAUUUUCGUUAUAAAAACCUAAACACCGUCAAGUAACGAUUUAAUCAAUAUAACGGUAUUAUAUUAUUCAUACCGACGCAUCAAUAUAAAUAUCAUCACAACGAUUUGUCCAACAAUUUAAUUUCUGAACAUUACAAAAGUAUUGUAAUCAAAAGUAAAAAAAUCCGCAAGUUAGUUAACGAAAAAAUAUUUUCUGAAAAACAAUGAAAAUACUAAUAAAUAGAGAGUGGAUUUUCAUUGUCCAAAAAUUACUAAUAUAUUAUCUAUACAAUUUUAAAAUAUAUCCAAUUAAACGUCAUUAUAUGCCUAAAAAAAAUGUACUAAGAGUAAUUAAAAAGAAAGAAAUAGUGUGUCCAGAUUGAAUUCCAGUGAAAGGUUGAAUAAUGUUAAGGAGUUUAAGCAUAGGCUGUUUAAAAGAUUUUUUAAUAAAGUGCUAACAGAAGGAAAAAUACCAGACGAGUGGAAAAAUGUUUGUAGUAGGUACCUAUAUUUAGAGACUAAGGAGAUGUUAUGUAGGAGCAUGGACAUUUUAGAAGAAUAAAAUUGAUGAGCCGUAGUAUAAUAUGAAGAUUUAGGAAAAUAUUAUACAAAAUAGAAUUAGAAGUAAGACGUAAACCUAUUUUAGAACCCAUAUAGUUUUAUCACAUGGAAAUCGAUGAUGGAUCCGGCGAUUUGUUUGAAACAGAUUGUAGAAAAGUUUAGAAAGAAGAGGAAAAACUUAUUUAUAGUUUUUAUACAUUUAAAGGUAUAUAACAGAGAGAGAUUCUGAUGUGGACGUUUAUGAUAAAAGAAGUUCCAAAAUCUGAUAGAGGACACGUAUAAAGGUUCAAAUACGAACGUCAAAAAUAUGGAAUAAUGGCCAAUUUUGGGGUAAGAGUAGGUGUGCAUCAGGGUUUGACUUUAAGUCUUUACCUGCUUUCUGUGGUAAUAGAUGAAUUAGUGCAUGAUGUUUCCAGAAGAUAUAGUUUGGAUAGAAGGAAAUCUGGAACAAGUUAACAGUAGACUUAAAAAAUUGAGAGAAGUACUUGAAGAAAAGUGGCUAAUAAUAAGACAAACUAAAACAAAGUACAUAGAGUAUUAAUUUGGAAGAUGAAAAGGAAUUGAUGAGGUUAAUAAGAGUAAUGACACUAAGCGAUAAUGUAAUAGGUAAUGCUGAGGGUUUCAAGUACCUAGGAUCUUUUACACAAAAAUACUGUGACUUUGAAAAACCAUAUAUGAGUAUAUAUAUAUACACGUAUAUGAAGAUGAUGUGGGAAAUUGGUUCAAAUGAAAAUGUAUGAUUGACCCCAAAUAGUUGGGAUGAAUGUAAAGGAGGGAAAGAAGGAGAUAAGGUCAGUUUACCAUUUAAAAGGGUUUCUAAAAAUAAUUUUAUGAGCAAAAUUCAAAAAUGGCCGUUUUAAACCCGUAAUUAAACAAUGUAAAUUAAUUUAUACACACAGAACACUUUUGUCCCAUUCAUCCAAACAUACGAAUAAAUAUAGUACGAAUUAAUUGAAAAAAUAAUAAAUGUUAAAUACAAUUUAGACUGAUUGUUGUUUUUACAGGAGAUGACGACCGAGAGAAUUCCCGUAUGGCUGUACGACAAAAAACUCUGGAUCAAUGACGCGGACCGACGUACCACAUGUGCCGACGUGGUGGUUGCGUUGACAGGCCGGCACUGUGGCAACUACGCUGUAGCUGUUGACGGUGGCGCGGCAACAAUGGUGGCCGAUCCAAGCGUUCGUGUGCUCAAGAUCUGGCAAAGCUUGCAACCGGACCAAAAGCUUUGCUUGCAAAAAGUGAGUGACAACGCUGUCGUCGAUGACUACGAUGACGAUGGCGCGUCCGAAAUGAGUGGAUACCGGGCGCACAGGAAGCGCCGUCGAGACGUAGUCAAGUACGCGUCACGAACGGUACAUCCGAAGCGGCUAAGUAACGCGCAGGCGGCGGAGGAGCUGCUCAAACUUAUUCUAGAACAGAGUGAUACCAUCAGAGCACAGCUAAAGAAACUCCAGGACCGGGACAAAAAGAUCGAAAAAAUCGAAACAGAAACUCACCGAAAUCGGGCUGACAUUUUGGGAUCGAAUUACCUGUUGGACGCAUACCUGGGUGGUAGCACCGGUGACGAUAAGGAGGAAAAGGACAGCGGUAUAACUGAAGGCGCGGCCAGCGUGGACAACGACGAAGACGGUCGUGGUGGUGACGGUGACCGUGACGUGGUGGAAGGUGGUUCCAGGACCAGUACUUCUUCGUCAUCGUCCUCAUCGUCCACUCUGGAAGCCAUUACUUACUUGGAGAAGAUCGUAAAAAUUAAUAAAAAAUUGUACGAACACGAGGAACGGCUGAUUCGGUUGUACGUGAACGUUGAACGGUGCCGAGACCGAGAACAGCUGCUAAAUGAACUAAAACGGGCCGAGACUGAGCUGAUCGAAACCGAACAAAUGUACCGAGAGAACACGCUAUUGAUACGAGACACGGACACCGAACUUCGCACCAGGCUAGGAUAUAUCGAACAGCUACAAUAUGAGGCGGCCAUUGUAGAUAGCGAAAACGAAUACUUGAUGAGUUUCAUCGAACAAGGCCGACAGCAACAAAAUCAACACAACAGGGUGGAAAAUCAUCACAAUCCUUCCACCGCAUAUCGGGUGUUGGACACGUUGGUUUGAACUGAGCACCACAUUUAUUUCAUAUUUAGUUUAAAAGAAAAUUGUCAUCGUCUUCUGUUCAUUAUGUAUAACAAAGCAACAUGUGUAUGUUAUUGAACUAUAAGUUAUUAUUAUUAUUACUUUUUGGAUAUUUUUUAUUUAAAUCAUUUGUUUUAAAUAUAAAUUGUGUAUAUUUUCUACAAUGCAUCGAUCUAUCACAAACUAUGCAACACUGGGUUUAUUCGGAGAAUAGAAACAUUAUUAACGGAGACUCGAUUUUCGAUAUUUUUAAAUUUUUUUCUUCGAGUCAUGAGAAGAAACAAAUCCAACCACGGAUUAUUCAUAGUAGAGAAUCCAUACUAAUAAAUUUUGUUAGCCAUAUUUGAGAUUUUAUCCUAGUAGACAUUUAGAGUGAAUCUCCCUUUAAAAAUCAAACAUCUGAUUUUUGAUUAUUGCGUUUUAACCAAAAAUAUAAAAGCAUGCAAAAUUUCAAAUUUCAAACUUUUCAAACUCAAUAUAAUAGGUUUAAUAAAUAAAUAAAUUGUACUG